UUCUUGGGAAAUUUGAGUGGAGCUCCUUACAUUCUUCACACCAAUGUGUGUAGCCAAGGCAAAGGAAACAGAGAGCAACAAUUCUAUUUAUGGUUCGACCCAACUUCUGAUUUCCACACCUAUUCCAUUCUUUGGAAUCCACAACGCAUUAUGUAAGCAAGAAACUCCAUCAAAUCUUCAACUUACUUAUUUUCAAGUUGAAUUUUAAUUUUUUUAACUAAUGAUAAACUUUCUCUCCGCUGUUUCAGCUUCUCCGUUGAUGGGACCCCGAUUAGAGAAUUCAAGAACUUGGAAUCCGCAGGAGUUCCAUUUCCAAAAAGUCAACCAAUGAGAAUCUACUCAAGUCUGUGGAAUGCAGAUGAUUGGGCUACAAGAGGUGGUCUUGUGAAGACAGAUUGGAGUCAAGCUCCCUUCACUGCUUCUUACAGGAACUUCAAUGCCAAUGCUUGUGUAUGGUCUAAUGGAGCAUCUUCUUGCGGCACAAAUUCUGCAUCUAACACAACUUCUUGGCUUUCGGACGAGCUUGAUUCAACAAGUCAAGAGAGGCUCAAAUGGGUGCAAAAGAAUUACAUGAUCUAUAAUUAUUGCACGGAUGUUAAGAGAUUUCCACAAGGAAUCCCUACAGAGUGCAAACUGUCAUAAUUCAAAACCCAGAUAAUGCAUACACAGUAUAUAUAUCCAUGAGUGUGUUCCAUUAUUUUAUUGUUUUUGUUAUUUGCCAUAGAUAGAUGUCCAUUAUUUGUUUGUAUUUUUUUUCAUCAAUAAAUACGUUUUUGGCAUGCAUAUUAUAUAAUUUCAAAAGGGCAUGUCGGAACAUGGUGGAGCAUAUUACAAAUAUAAAGUAUUCAGACGUCUACACAUUAUUAUUGGGUAAAUGGUUUCGGCUUACGAUUAUUUAGACUCAAUAAUAAAUUGACAUCUGUAAUUUUCAAUUAAAGCGUUGUGGUUCAAGCAUUUUGGUCAUUAAAUUGCAGUUCUAUUUAUUUAUUUAUUUAUUUUGUACAUAAGAGAUGAAAAGAACACUAAAACUAUUUUUUUUUAAUUCACUGGAAGGCCUGUUAGGCUGAAAUAAUAUUGCAGUUAUAUAGCCCUUCUCUAGAUUUAUCAAAUUAGAAAAAAUACUUGUGUUUGAGAGCAGUCGAACUUGAGAUCUCUUACAUCACAUCAGACCAUACUUAAUUGGCUUAAAACCUAAACUAUUUAGAAUAAUUUAAGAGUAAAUGUAUUGGAUUAGGACCGUAUAAGAUUUUAAAAAAAUUAUUGAGUUUGAUAGAAUUAAAGAAUUUCCACGGCUCAUGUGAAAAUCAAAGAAUGAGACUAACAGGAGGAUGCAGGCUCAUCUGCACUAAAAUUAACAUAUUGAAAAGUUAAAUAACAGUUCUAAUUUUAAUUAUUUUGCUUUUUUUAUUAAAAAAAUUAAUUUAUUUUAUUAAUAUAAUAAAAAAAAUUAAUUCAAGCAAGCUAAUCCGAGUCAAAAAAACUUCUCUAGUACACUCAAAACCGAACUUGAAAAAGUUAAGCGAAAAACCGCAAUAGCUGUGUAACAUCAAAACACAGGAAAAAAAAAAAUCCAAACUAUUUUCUUGAGUUAAACCUUUGUCUAUAUCUUUGUUAAUCAUGUUAAUUGAACUAUACUUGAUGUGAUUUUAUGUUAAUUUAACUUGAUACUGUUAUUCCUCUUAAUUUGUAGAAUUUUAAUUCUAAAAUAAUAAAAGCUUUUCAUUUUUCUUUUUUUCAAUGAUUAUUAAUAGUCUAUAAUAUAUUUAAUUUAAAAAAUAUUUCAAAACUAUUCAUUUUCUUAAUAGAAUAUUUUUCUAUUAUAGAGCAUAAUAUUUUCUUUUUCACUUUUGACUUAAUAUUUUUAGAGUUGACUUGUUUAUUUAUUUAUUUGACAUUAGAGGUGACUUGUUUAUUAAUAAGCAAUAAUAUGUGUAUUGAAUUAAUGAUAAUACUCUUCCCUGUAUUUAUGAUAAUGUGUCCUUUUUUGUUAUUGGAGAAUUUUACAAUUUUAAUAAUUUCCUUUAGUUAUGGACGUUUUGUGCAUCAAGUGGUAUUACUAUUUUUUCUUAUUAACAUUGAAUUUUUAAUCAGAAAAUUAUUAUUUACUCCCUUUAUUAUAAUAAAUUACACUAAUCAGAACCUAUGUUUUUUAAAAUUAAUUUGAUAAUUCUUUUAUUUUAAUUCUGUCUAACUAUAUACCCGUCCAUUAAUUUUUUACUCUUUUUCAUGAAUUGAAAAGAAAAACUGAAAUUGAUAAUUUAUUUAUUAAAAUACCCUAGAAUUUUAUCUUAAAAAAAAAGAAAAUGAACAAAAUAAAAAAUUAUACUAAAUGAAACAUCAUACAACUAUUUAAUUUUCUCUACAAAUCAAUCAAAAAUGCAAAAAUCUCCAAUGAACCGAAUAAAUCGACCGUACGAAAUAAAAAUAGUUAUCUGAUGAUCAAAAGCAUCAAUCAGGUGACAGUCACUCACCAACCCUGCGUUGCAUUUAUGCGAAACCGCGUCUCUUGUCGCAUAAUGUCUUUUUAGUGCGCUAUAUUUUAUUCACAACUACAACUGGGCACAGCUGAGGGCUUAUACCGUCACUGGACCUUCCUAUGCCUUUCCUUUUCAAAUUCAAAUGGGUAUAAAUACCAGCCUAUCUCCUCAUUUACAACAUACUAGUUCUUUCUUUUACUCUAUAAACAUUACACAUAUAGUUUCUUAAUAUUUCUGAGUUCAACAUCAAGAAAAACUCAUCAUGGCUUCGAAUAGUUCUUUAAUGCUGCUAAUGCUUCUUGGCAUCUUCUCUUCCAUGGCAGCUGCAAAUUUCUACCAAAAUUUUGACAUUACAUGGGGAGAUGGCCGUGCUAAGAUUCUCAACAACGGAGACCUUCUUACGCUAAACCUUGACCAAGCUUCUGGUUCUGGAUUUCAAUCCAAAAAUGAGUAUUUAUUUGGACAAAUUGAUAUGCAACUCAAGCUUGUACCUGGCAACUCCGCCGGCACCGUCACUGCCUAUUAUGUAAGUACUUUUUUCUUCCUUUUUGAUUUUUGUUGUAAUUUUUCAAGUAUGUAUUCAUUUUGACUAAUAAUACCUGUGAAUUUGCAGUUAUCCUCAAAAGGGUCUACUUGGGAUGAGAUAGACUUUGAGUUCUUGGGAAAUUUGAGUGGAGAUCCUUACCUUCUUCACCCCAAUGUUUUUAGCCAAGGCAAAGGAAACAGAGAGCAACAAUUCUAUUUAUGGUUCGACCCAACUGCUGAUUUCCACACCUAUUCCAUUCUUUGGAAUCCCCAACGCAUCAUGUAAGCAAGAAACUCCGUCGCAUCUUCAGCUUUGUUCUUUUUAACUUUAAUUCUAAUUUCUUUAUUAAUAAUAAACUCAUUAUCCUCUGUUUCAGCUUCUCCGUUGAUGGGACCCCAAUUAGAGAGUUCAAGAACUUGGAAUCCGCUGGAGUUCCAUUUCCAAAGAGUCAACCAAUGAGAAUGUACUCAAGUCUGUGGAAUGCAGAUGAUUGGGCCACAAGAGGUGGUCUUGUGAAGACAGAUUGGAGUCGAGCUCCCUUCACUGCUUCUUACAGAAACUUCAACGCCAAUGCUUGUAUUUGGUCUAAUGGAGCAUCUUCUUGCAAAUCUAAUUCACCUUCCGGUAGUAAUGUGUGGCUGUCACAAGAAUUAGACACAAACAGUCAAGAUAGGCUCCAGUGGGUACAAAAGAAUUACAUGAUCUAUAAUUACUGCACAGACACUAAAAGAUUUCCUCAAGGCAUCCCUCCAGAAUGCAGCAUGUCAUAGAAGGCUGAGAAGGACAUAACAUUCAAUACAAUUUUUGUUUUUCUUUUUCAACAUAUCUUGAUUCUUUUUCUUUACAUUCUUUUGUUCUAUGCAAUUAGAUAUGACAAAAUUCGUUCUAUGUAAAGCUGCUUUGAAUCUUGAUUAAUGCUAUUUGUUCAUUAUCUCCAUUGAGAUCUUCAUAUCCAGGUUGGAAUGAAGCAUAUAUGAGCAACUUAAGGACAAGAGAUUUGAAAUUCGAUAACAUGAGUCUAGCUUUUCUUCAAAUUGCAUAAUUCAGAAGUACAAGUAAAAAAUUAGGCAAGGUAGUGGCGAGAUCGCCCUCCAACUGAAAGCGAGAACUUUUGUCAAACAGCUGGUCUGCAGUUUGUUUGCAGUGUGCUCUGAAAAAUGUUAGUUUCUUUUUUGGUGUGUUCUGUUAACUAAAGACGCAUGCCGCUAAAUGGAAAUCAAUAUAGGAUGCAUAAUUUGCUCAAUUAAGAAAAUGAAUUUACAUACAGUUUUUGCACAAACAAAAGAUAAACCAAUCUGAACAGUAAUUUAAUGAAAUGUAGAGAGCCAUCAUAAUUUUCGCUUGAGAAAGUGCUAGUCUUAGGUCGUAUAUAGCUUUUAUGCUAUAUACUUAUAGCCAUCCAAUUCCAGUAAGAACAGAUCAUUUUUAUUAUACCCCCAACUUUACGGCUUAUUAUAAUUACACUCUAAAACCAACCCAACUGACAGACACUCCAGAAUCUGCAGUUCUUGCUGCACUUGGGUUGGCGGUGUUGCAUCUUCAAUCCCUUCUCUCUAGUCUAUGCUUCUCUCCUACCUUGGUUGUCCUCUGUCUUCCUCUCCCACCGCCUUUUGGCAUCUAGCAUCCAGGUCUGAGAGAGAGGGAUUUUGAGAUGAGAUCCAUGAAGGAGGGGUAGAGAAGGGAGAGAUGAAACGGUAAGGUUUCUUUUGUUCCUUUAAACAAAACUCACCGUUUCACUUAACUGGGAUGGUUAAGUGAACUCAACAAAGUCCAACGGGUCCCAGAAAUAAUAAUAUUAUAACGUCUAAUUUUGACCAAAACCAAAAUGGGGCACAAUUUUGACAAAAAUAUAAAAAUAAGGUGCCUUAAAGUUGGUUUUGGGGUGUAAUCUGUGACGAAGUGUAAAAUGGAGGGUACAAAUGAUGGUUUACCCAAGAAUAGACCGAGUGCCAUCCAAUUCCCUUGGGAUAGCUUCAGUCAAAACCUAGUACUUUAAUCUUAAGACUAAAACCCACAAGGUAUUAGGAUUUUUAAGUAAAUGCCAACCAAUCUUUAUAAAAAAAAAAAAAAAAAAAUGAAGAUGUUUUUGCAAUGGAGAUGGAGAGAAGGAUGCUUAAUUUCUUAUUGCUUACCAAAAACAACAGUACAUAACAAUAUAUGUAUAUUUGGGGCAAGGACUACUUAGUACAGGAAACUAAGAUGAACAUUUGAAAUUUGACUUAACCCCAAAAUUAAUACUUCUUCUGUUUUAUUUUGUUUGCUUGUUAUUCUUUUUUGAAAAUGUCCAAAAAUAUUUACAAGGUUUCUAAAAGCAUUUAGUACGUUAUUGCGUGUAGGUGGUUAGGGAUAUAAGGUCUUGGAUAAAAUUGAUCAGCAUCUUCCCUCAAAAUAUUAGAUAUUAUCGUUGAUUUAUCAUCAAACUCAAGUGCCCCUUGGGUUCACCCUUCGCUAUGGUUUUAUAUACUUAGACAAUUAUUUUUUUCCAUUGUAACAUAUAUGAUUGUUCAUUAAUGAAUGAUUUUUACUAAUAUCUUAAUGAGUGAAGAGUAAAAUGAUUUUUAUUGAUUAAAUUUUUAAUAUGCGUGUUUUUUGAAACCAUGCAAAUAAAAUAGGAUGGAAAAAGUACAUCAUUAAAUUUAAACCGUAUACUUUUUUUUUUUAUUUUAACCACAAGGAUCCCCGUCCAGGAAAGGACCGAGGGGCUAUGCCCCUGCAAAUUAAAAAGUUUUUAAAAUUUUUAGUGUGAAAUGUUUGGAAAAAAAUAUAUUUGAAUUUUGCUCCCUAUAAUUAGUAAAAAAUUUUUUGGUCCCCCUAACUAUUUGGGCUGAUUUUGUCAUUGUUCCGAACCCACUGGAUUAAAACUAAAUCCUACUUGCACCGAAUCGGCCCACUACAGCGAGUAUUUACUUCAUCCAUGAGAAUUAAACCUUUCGAUCUCAAUUAAGAGAGAAGAAUGCCGAACCACUCAUCCCAACGUUUAUUUGUGAUAAACCAUAUACUUUAUGCCAAGCAAAAAUAUCAACACAUAUUCCAAAACUUAGACCAUCGUACAUAAUUUAUUUUUUGCAAAGUUCAUUUGUGAAUGAUGGACUGGUUGAGCAUGAUUUUUUUUUUUUUUUCUAAUGGAAAAAUUCUCUUGUUUUAUCUUUUGGAAGAACCAAAUGGAGAUUAUUGAGGUUCGUAGAAUACAUAUUUGACAAAGCACACAGAGAAUGACCUUUUUUGCAGUACAAACAAUUUUUUUUUUCCCUUUCAUUUUCAUUGCAUAUCAGCUGAGGAAUUUUAAGAAAAAGCAGAUAAGGAGAUUUCUGAACCAACUUGGCAAUUGGCAUGACUUAUUAGUGCAUGCUUCACAAAUAUGCUGACAAUAUUUUAAUUACUUUGACAGUAAAGGAGUUUAAAAAAAAAAAAAAAAGCAAACAAGCAAAUUGUUUUUCUUUUUUUUUUUUUUUUAAAUGGUAAUCCAUUAACAAUCUUAUGUUGAGAAAUGAUCUUAAUAGAAUAAAUUAUUCUUUAUUCUUUGAGUUGUAAUUGUUUUUUUUUUUUUUAAUUUAGAGAUCAGGUUAGGCAUCAAAUUGAAAACAAUUUAAAUUGUUAAGAGAAUAUUUUGGGUUACACAGCUGAGAUAGUCCUUUUCUUUAUCGAGAGAUGUUGAAUAUGUACUUGAUAGUGGGUCAGUUUGGUUCGGUUUAAAUAUAAUAAUCAAACCAAACUUAAAGUGGUGGUUUGAAAAAAAUUAAAAUCAAAAUCAAAUCAUGAAAAAUUUCAAACCAAACCUAAUCUUCGGCGACAGUUUGAUUUGAUUUGGUUUGGUUUGACAGUUUGAAAUAAGAGAAAUUAAACUUCCUUGUUCAUCUAGUUAAUAAAUAUAUAUAUAAAAAAAAAGAUUAACAUUAUUCUAAAUAUGAAAAAUGAAUUGAUAAAAACUAUGCCAUAAAAUACACAUGAUUUUGAAUAGCUAUUAUGAGUUUUUAAAUUUAUAUAUAUACUUUGUAUAGUAUAAAAAAUAUUAUUUAUUUAGAAAGAUAAUAAUUAAGCAAUUUAUAAAUAUAGAAUUUAAAUUUGAUUUAAUUAUAUCUAUUACUAGAAAUUAUAAAAAAAUUAUAAUUUUACUCACAUAUAGUUUAUAUAUAUAUACAUGAAUGUUUAACAUUUGAAUAUUUUAUAAAAUAAUUAUACAACUUAUCUAAUCAACAAGAAAUUAUUAUUCAAUUAUUAUCCAAUAUAACAAAUCUCAUAAUUUACUAUCCAAUAUAAAGUAAUUAAUACAACAGAAAUUUUCAUUAAAAAAAUUGAAUUGUAUUGAAAAAUUCAAAAUACAUAUAUAUAAUUAUACAUGGAUGUUUCAUUUGGUUUGGGUGGUUUGAUUCCAAAAACAUAAACCAAACCAAAAGCUCGGUUUGGAUGGUUGUGACUGUAAAAUCAUAAACCAAACCAAAAGCUAGGUUUUUAAAUUUUAUAAAAUCAAAUUAAACCAUCAAUCUUUUAAUUAAAACCGCAGUUUUAAUUCGAUUUGAAUCGAUUUGGACGGUUUAGGCAGUUUGAUGAACACUCUUACGUAUGGUUGUCAGAAAAUACUUGUAAAUAAUCGGCAUGAUGGGUUCCAUAUUAUGUAUAAACAAGUCAGACCCAAAUGUUACAUGUGGCCUUAAUAUAAUUUGAGCUUUUGGUGCUUUUCACCAUAAUAUAUACUAUUUUUGUAAUUUCUGAUUCUUUUCACAUCUCUAAAGAUUUCACAUAUAAAUUUAAUAUACAAAAUUAAAGGUGGAUUUGGACGGAAAAGAGUAAAGAAAUGCAUCACUCGUGAUGCAUAAAGCUUUUGAUCAGUGGAGAUUUAUUUUAAUGACACCCCAUAAUACAUAAAGCUUCAUGAACCAGUAAAAGAAGAGAGCGAGUUGAAUAGAUGCUGAUUUUUCUGAUAGAAAGCUAAUAAAAAAACGUUUUCUUUUUUAAAAAUAUUAUUAUUUUUUCGGUGUAUAAUUAAAUAUAUUCUGGUUUGUAAUUAAUUUGGUAUAUAAAUGGGCUCAUAUCCCAUGUAAGUAAAUUUUUUUAUUAAAAUUACGGAUUCAAUGUAUAAAAAUUGAAAAUAAUGGAUAAGCAAAAAUUAAAAGAAGAUAAAAUAGCAAAUCUUUUUUUUUUUUUAUUUAGAACUAACAGGUGUAAUCCCUCUUCGGCCAUUUAAGUGUAUUUUAGAAGAAUCUAACUUAUUUUAUUGACUGAAUUACCCUUUAGUCAAUACUCAAUUAAUUGAAACUUUGGUGUAGAUAUCUAAACAAGUAAAAUUGAAAUAAAUAAUUAAAUGAUAUUUUAAUUUUCAAAAAGUGUCAUCUAAAUGGUAUAAAAAAUAAAAAAAAAACUGUCAAAUUUAACGAAACAGAUAAUGCUAACAAAAGAAAGUGACAACUACAAACGCAAAAUGAAAAUUUUGUGAGGUUGAUUAACAUCUUUAUAUCAAGAUUAUGCAGUUUAUCAAAAAUACUUAUCGCAUUUGGGUAUUUAAUUUCUCUUAAAAAAAUUAUUUAAUUUUUCUAAAUUAUAAUAAAUUAUUAAAUGGAUUGAUGAAAUACUUUUAAUUUAAUAUUUGAGUUGAAACCAUUCAACUACUUGUGUACAAAUAAUAAAAAAAGAAAAAAGUUUAUUAUUUAUUAAAUCCACGUAUCUGACAACUAUGCAUUUGGUUUUUGCACGGAUCCUUACAAAAUGAAAGAUACUAAUGCAAGAAUCGAAAGCAUCAACCAGGUGACAGCCACACGCCAACCCUGCAUUGCAUUAAUGCGAAACCGCGUCUCGUGUCGCUUAAUGUCUUUUUGGUGCGCUAUAUUUUAUUCACAGUACAACUGUCCAGCUGAUGACUAUACUGAACCUUCCCAUGCCUUUUCCUUUUCAAAUUCAAAUGGGUAUAAAUACCAUCAUCGUCUCAUCUUAUCUCCACACUUGUAACAUACCAGUUCUUUCUUUUACUCUAUACAUUGUAUACGCAGUUUCUUGCUAUCCCUUAUUUCAACAUCAAGAAAAAUUUAUCAUGGCUUCACAUAGUUCUUUAAUGCUGCUAUUGCUUCUUGGCAUCUUCUCUUCCAUGGCAGCUGCAAAUUUUUACCAAAAUUUUGACAUUACAUGGGGAGAUGGCCGAGCUAAGAUUCUCAACAAUGGAGACCUUCUUACGCUUAAACUUGACCAAGCUUCUGGUUCUGGAUUUCAAUCCAAAAAUGAGUAUUUGUUUGGACAAAUUGACAUGCAACUCAAGCUUGUCCCUGGCAACUCCGCUGGCACCGUUACUGCCUAUUAUGUAACUAUUUCUUUCUCUCUUCUUUUUUUUUUUUUUUUUUUUUUUUGCUGUAAAUUUUUAAGUAUAUAUGUAUUCAUUCUGACUAAUAAUACUUGUGAAUUUGCAGUUAUCGUCAAAAGGGUCUACUUGGGAUGAGAUAGACUUCGAGUUCUUGGGAAAUUUGAGUGGAGAUCCUUACAUUCUCCACACCAAUGUGUUUAGCCAAGGCAAAGGAAACAGAGAGCAACAAUUCUAUUUAUGGUUCGCCCCAACUGCUGAUUUCCAUAC
rnacentral:lncRNA from 1 species